UUUUUUUUUUUUAAGUAGUUCCUAUUUUCUAUUCCCCUCCCAGAAAAUUGCAUGAAACGAGGCUUCUGUAAUCAAUAUCCCAACAUUCUGCGAUGGCAGCGUUCCCCCCAGACAGAUUAUGUGUGAUCCUCCUGCCUCUAGGCGGGAGAAAGUACCCUCUUCUCUCAUAUUCCUCCACCAUGUCUUUCCCCGGGUCCCCUCAAACUCCUCUCAAACACAAAGCAUUCGCAUAAGGCCCAGUCAUUGUCAUUGGAAGCUGUGGAACCCUUUUAGGAUGGUUGCCCCAGUAGAGUUAGCUGACGAGAAGCAUCUUAAUUUAAAUGCAUGUCUUCAAUGCUCAUAAAAGUGUUAAAUGGAAUUCGUGUGAUGAAUCUGUGCUGGCCAUGGACGAAUAUGAAUGUCGUGUUUGAAUUCUUGAUCUCUCACGAGCUAGUGUCUUACGGUCUUGAUCCCUCCGGUGUGUAAUUCCCUUUCCAACACAUUUACCAAAUUGCUCAAGCCUGGCUCUUCCACCGGGCUUUGGGCCUGCAUCUUCUUGCAUCUAAUGAAAAACAAAAAGCUAACAUCUUUAUGUACUGUAACUGCUCAGAGCUUUAAAAGUAUCUUUAACAAUUGUCUUAAAACCAGAGAAUCUUAAGGUCUAACUGUGGAAUAUAAAUAGCUGAAAACUAAUGUACUGUACAUAAAUUCCAGAGGACUCUGCUUAAACAAAGCAGUAUAUAAUAACUUUAUUGCAUAUAGAUUUAGUUUUGUAACUUAGCUUUAUUUUUCUUUUCCUGGGAAUGGAAUAACUAUGUCACUUCCAGAUAUCCACAUAAAUGCUCCUUGUGGCCUUUUUUAUAACUAAGGGGGUAGAAGUAGUUUUAUUCAACAUCGAAACUUAAGAUGGGCCUGUAUGAGAUAGGAAAAACCAACAGGUUUGUCUGAAGGACCCCAGGUAAAAUGUUAAUCUCCCAGCCCACCUCAACCCAGAGGCUACUCUUGACUUAGCUCUAUCCUGAAACGGCUCUGUCACGUCCAACUGGGAAUUACAGAAACCAAAAAGAGCAUCCCUUUGGGCUUGGACCACUUACAGUGUGCUAAGGCCUACUCUGUCUUAGGAAGUGGCAGUUCUUGACUCGCCACCUUUCAUCGGUGCCCGAUUGAUCCUCUGGCAAACCGAUGAUGGUGCGGGAGACUUUCCAUGAAAUCAGUCAGGAACGAGUCAAUCAGCCUUUGGGUCUUCAGUUACGGGGACUUGGGGCUGAGGGGAUAUAAAGAACCCUGGGCUGUCCAGCCUUAAUAGACUCCUCUUACAUUUUUGUCCUGUAGCACGCUGCCUGCCAAAGUAGUCCUGGCAGCUGGGCCAUCUCUGUAGGAUCGCAAAAAAAAAAAAAAAAAAAAAAAAAAAAAAAAAAAAAAAAAAGGAAAAAAAAAUUGAAAAAAAAUAGAAAAAAUAAAAAAAAUAAAAAAAAUAAAAAAAAAAAGAAGGAAAGAGGAAAAACAGAGCUGGUGGUUUGAUUAUUUCUGCCGUGAUGUUUACAAGAUGGCAACCACCAAAGCCAAAUGAGUAACCUAUCUAUGAACAACAGUAGUUUCUCAGGGUCACUGUCCUUGAACCCAACAGUCCCUUAAGAGCGUCACUGCCCACCAAAGGUCAAUGUCAAGGGAGGAAGAGGGAGGAGGGGUAGAACUGUAGGGGCCGCUCCAAACUCACUUCAGUAGAAACUAUUGGUGCUUGCCUCUCACUAGGUUAAACUCAAGAUCUGACCAAACCGAGUGAUAGGGAUCCUGGUGGGAGGAGGGAGGGCACAUCUCCAGGAAAAAAAAAAAAAAAAAAAAAAAAGU
rnacentral:lncRNA from 1 species